rnacentral:tRNA from 1 species
GGGGUUGUGGCUCAGUGGUAGAGUGCUUGCCUAGCAUGCAUGAGGCACUGGGAUCAAUCCUU